rnacentral:rRNA from 1 species
AACGCGAAGAACCUUACCUGGGCUCGAAAUGUACAUGAAUCCGGCAGAAACGUCGGCGUCUAGCAAUAGACAUGUAUAUAGGUGCUGCAUGGCUGUCGUCAGCUCGUGUCGUGAGAUGUUGGGUUAAGUCCCGCAACGAGCGCAACCCUCGCCUUUAGUUGCCAGCACGUUUGGGUGGGCACUCUAAAGGAACUGCCGGUGACAAGCCGGAGGAAGGUGGGGAUGACGUCAAGUCCUCAUGGCCCUUAUGUCCUGGGCUACACACGUGCUACAAUGGCGGUGACAGCGGGAAGCCAGGUCGCAAGGCCGAGCCGAUCCCGAAAAGCCGUCUCAGUUCAGAUUGCACUCUGCAACUCGGGUGCAUGAAGGUGGAAUCGCUAGUAAUCGUGGAUCAGCAUGCCACGGUGAAUACGUUCCCGGGCCUUGUACACACCGUAGAGAC